GGCAGAGUAGGAUGUUGGUUUCCUGUUCGGCCUCAUAAGCCGAGCUACGAGGGUUCGAUUCCCUCCUCUGCAUCCA
rnacentral:tRNA from 1 species